rnacentral:rRNA from 1 species
UACGAAGGGUGCAAGCGUUAGUCGGAAUUACUGGGCGUAAAGCGUGCGUAGGCGGUUUCUUAAGUCCGUUGUGAAAGCCCUGGGCUCAACCUGGGAACUGCAGUGGAUACUGAGAGGCUAGAGUGUGUCAGAGGAUGGUGGAAUUCCCGGUGUAGCGGUGAAAUGCGUAGAGAUCGGGAGGAACAUCAGUGGCGAAGGCGGCCAUCUGGGACAACACUGACGCUGAGGCACGAAAGCGUGGGGAGCAAACAGG